UCUACUGUUGCUGAUGAGAACUCUGGUAUCAUCUGAGUCUCCUUUGGUGAUUACCUGUGUUCUUUGGAGCUGAUAAGAUCUUUGAUUUUAUUCAGUGAGUUUAGAGAUGACUUCCACCCCCACGCCCAUUUAAUUCACCUCAGGAUUCAAGGAAAGAACACUGUUACCCUAAGUUAUUCUGUAAAGCCAUUAAAUUAUUAGCUCUCCCUCCCUCCCUCCCUGCUGAGCUUCCUUUCAUUCUAGCAGCACAGUACUUUCUUUCUUCCCUUCCUCACUUUCCUCCCCCUUUCCUCUCUUCUUCAUGUUUUUGAGAUAAGAGCUCAUUCUGUAGCCCCAUCCCACCCACUCUAUAGACCCAUUAUGGCUUCAAACACUCAGCAAUCCUCCUGCCUCACAGCCUCCUGAGUUCUGAGAUUACACGUAGGAGUCACCAUGCUCUUUCUUGGAACACGUGUUCAAAACGUGAACGUUGGGUUGGGCACACACCUGUCACCCCAGCACUCAGAGGCAAAGGCAGUAGGUUCAGCACGGAUUUGAGGCUAGCCUGGUCUGCUCACAUGGAGUGCCAGGGCUGCACAGGGAGACGCUGUCUCAGAAGAGUAACAACAGACUGUAAUUCCUGAAGAACUAGAAACCAUGAUCUCCAUGCACCGGAGCCAAGGUUCCAGCAAGGCCUUUUGAGCAAACAGCCCACCCUUUUCCUGAGAAACAGAAGGACCACCCCCCACCCCACCCCCCGUGGGACACCUUACACUGGAUGAUGAGUCUGCGGUGCUCAUCUCGAGAGUCCUCCAUGGUGUAGAGCGUCUGUUUGGU